AGCCCCGGUGUGGGGAUCCGUGCGCGGAUGUCCCGGCGAGUCCCGGGCUGAAAGAGGCGGCUCCGGGCGGCGCGGAGCGCUGGUGGCGGGCCCGGGCUGCGGCGUGUGCGCGCCCGCCAGCUGCUCCGGAGAUACGGAAUUGCAUUUUGUGAAAAAAGAACAAGAAUUUUCUGCAAGGAUCAUAUCUAAGUGCACUUUUUGCUGAUACUUCAUUUCUAAUCUUGUAGAAAAUUUCAGCUGUAGCCCUUGGACUAGAAGCUGAAAUAACAGAAGCUGUGUACGAUGCAUUAGGGUAUUGAAGAAAAUUAACUUUUGAAUUAAAUAUUUGGAAUAUAAGGAAAUAAGGAAAGGUGACUGAAAAUGGGGCGGAAGAAAAUACAAAUCACACGCAUAAUGGAUGAAAGGAACCGACAGGUCACUUUUACAAAGAGAAAGUUUGGAUUAAUGAAGAAAGCCUAUGAACUUAGUGUGCUCUGUGACUGUGAAAUAGCACUCAUCAUUUUCAACAGCUCUAACAAACUGUUUCAAUAUGCUAGCACUGAUAUGGACAAAGUUCUUCUCAAGUAUACAGAAUAUAAUGAACCUCAUGAAAGCAGAACCAACUCGGAUAUUGUUGAGGUAACACAUAUCUAGUAAUACAUGAAUUGCAAGUAAUACUGAAAUAUUUUGUUUAAUAGCAUUAACU
rnacentral:sRNA from 1 species